rnacentral:rRNA from 1 species
UCGGGAAUUUUGGGCAAUGGGGGAAACCCUGACCCAGCAACGCCGCGUGAAGGAUGAAGUAUUUCGGUAUGUAAACUUCGAAAGAAUAGGAAGAAUAAAUGACGGUACUAUUUAUAAGGUCCGGCUAACUACGUGCCAGCAGCCGCGGUAAUACGUAGGGACCAAGCGUUGUUCGGAUUUACUGGGCGUAAAGGGCGCGUAGGCGGCAUGACAAGUCACUUGUGAAAUCUCUGGGCUUAACCCAGAACGGCCAAGUGAUACUGUCGCGCUAGAGUGCAGAAGGGGCAAUCGGAAUUCUUGGUGUAGCGGUGAAAUGCGUAGAUAUCAAGAGGAACACCUGAGGUGAAGACGGGUUGCUGGGCUGACACUGACGCUGAGGCGCGAAAGCCAGGGGAGCAAACGGGAUUAGAUACCCAGUAGUCCCUGAGCGGGCUGGCAAGGCGCAU